rnacentral:rRNA from 1 species
CUUGCUGAAUUAUUCACCCUUGUCUUUUGCGUACUUCUUGUUUCCUUGGUGGGUUCGCCCACCACUAGGACAAACAUAAACCUUUUGUAAUUGCAAUCAGCGUCAGUAACAAAUUAAUAAUUACAACUUUCAACAACGGAUCUCUUGGUUCUGGCAUCGAUGAAGAACGCAGCGAAAUGCGAUAAGUAGUGUGAAUUGCAGAAUUCAGUGAAUCAUCGAAUCUUUGAACGCACAUUGCGCCCUUUGGUAUUCCAAAGGGCAUGCCUGUUCGAGCGUCAUUUGUACCCUCAAGCUUUGCUUGGUGUUGGGCGUCUUGUCUCUAGCUUUGCUGGAGACUCGCCUUAAAGUAAUUGGCAGCCGGCCUACUGGUUUCGGAGCGCAGCACAAGUCGCACUCUCUAUCAGCAAAGGUCUAGCAUCCAUUAAGCCUUUUUUUCAACUUUUGACCUCGGAUCAGGUAGGGAUACCCGCUGAACUUAAGCAUAUCAAAAAACCGGGAAGAAAAA